rnacentral:rRNA from 1 species
UACGUAGGGUGCAAGCGUUAAUCGGAAUUACUGGGCGUAAAGGGCGCGUAGGCGGCCUUCUAAGUCGAACGUGAAAUCCCCGGGCUCAACCCGGGAACUGCGUCCGAUACUGGUGGGCUCGAAUCCGGGAGAGGGAUGCGGAAUUCCAGGUGUAGCGGUGAAAUGCGUAGAUAUCUGGAGGAACACCGGUGGCGAAGGCGGCAUCCUGGACCGGUAUUGACGCUGAGGCGCGAAAGCCAGGGGAGCAAACGGG